GCCGAGCUUAGCAGUGUGAGCUUGUAACCCGAGUGGGGGCUUUGAGGUGCUGGAACAUUGUCCCAGUAUUAGCUGGUCGGGUUCGGGUUGGCUAUCUUCUGGCCCGCCCAUUCCAAGCCAGGAGUUGAACCCUGUGGCUUGAGCGAAGGCUCUGGGUCACUGGGUUUCUAGAGUGGAGGGCACUGCGUAAGACUGGCUUUACAGAGCAACGACUACCUCCCGCUAUUGGCAGUGGAAGGAUAACGGGUCAGUGCCACUCGGAUCCGCCAUGGCCUGCUAGACUGUCCCAAUUGAACCAAAACCUUU
rnacentral:SRP_RNA from 2 species